rnacentral:lncRNA from 1 species
CUGGAAAAUCUAGCUUGAGAGAAUCAACAGGGUGUUCCUGAACAAAUCCUAUCCCAUUAAUGAUCUCGUGAACAAGAUCACGGCCAAUUUCUCCAAAAUGACUCUCGCUACAUUAAGGAGAUCUGCUUCUUCCUUCUAUCCUCCCUCUCUCCUGUGUUGGAAUCCUGCUUGAUCUUGCUUUUCUUUUAUUUCUGUUGUUAACCUUUAUCCCCAUCGUUUUGCUUUAAUUUGUUGUGUUACCUUUCAUUAUCUCAAUAAAUUUGGAUGGGUCCAAUCCAACCUUUCAUUUGGAAGGAAAGAGAAAUAAAAAUAAGAACCAAUCUUUAUAAGUGCCUUCAAAUUUUCACCAAAUCAUUUGAAAUUUGUAUUUUCAGUGCACUCAUAU